CCUACGGGGGGCAGCAGUGGGGAAUAUUGCGCAAUGGGCGAAAGCCUGACGCAGCGACGCCGCGUGAGGGAUGAAGGUCUUCGGAUCGUAAACCUCGGUCAGCAGGGAAGAACGGUCACGGGGCUAAGCAGCAGUGAAUUGACGGUACCGGCAAAGGAAGCACCGGCUAACUCCGAGCCAGCAGCCGCGGUAAUACGGAGGGGGCGAGCGUUACUCGGAUUUACUGGGCGUAAAGCGCUCGUAGGCGGUCUGUCAAGUCAAGGGUGAAAGCCCCGCGCUCAACGUGGGAACUGCCUUUGAACCUGGCAAACUGGCGUGUGUGAGAGGUUAGUGGACUUCCCGGUGU
rnacentral:rRNA from 1 species